rnacentral:tRNA from 1 species
AGCCCGGUGGUGUAGCUCAGUAUAUGUUUAAUAUACCAAACAAAAUGGCCAAGCAUCUGGGGCCUUGAACCCCGUGACCACGGUUCGAAUCCGUGCCGGGCUACCA